rnacentral:rRNA from 1 species
UGAGUAACCUGCCCUUAACUCUGGGAUAAGACCUGGGAAACUGGGUCUAAUACCGGAUAUGACUCCUCAUCGCAUGGUGGGGGGUGGAAAGCUUUAUUGUGGUUUUGGAUGGACUCGCGGCCUAUCAGCUUGUUGGUGGGGUAAUGGCCUACCAAGGCGACGACGGGUAGCCGGCCUGAGAGGGCGACCGGCCAUACUGGGACUGAGAUACGGCCCAGACUCCUACGGGAGCAG